GACGAACGCUGGCGGCGUGCUUAACACAUGCAAGUCGAGCGAUGAAGCACCUUCGGGUGUGAAUUAGCGGCGAACGGGUGAGGAACACGUGAAGAAUCUGCCUUCAACUCUGGGAUAACUCCGGGAAACCGGGGCUAAUACCGGAUAUGAGCCUUGAUCGCAUGAUCGGGGCUGGAAAGUUUUUCGGUUGAAGAUGACUUCGCGGCCUAUCAGCUUGUUGGUGAGGUAAUGGCUCACCAAGGCGGCGACGGGUAGCCGGCCUGGGAGGGCGACCGGGCACACUGGGACGGAGACACGGCCCAGACUCCUACGGGAGGCAGCAGUGGGGAAUAUUGGGCAAUGGAGGAAACUCUGAACCAGCGACGCCGCGUGAGGGAUGAAGGCCUUCGGGUUGUAAACCUCUUUCAGUAGGGAAGAAGCGAAAGUGACGGUACCUACAGAAGAAGCACCGGCUAACUAUGUGCCAGCAGCCGCCGUAA
rnacentral:rRNA from 1 species